rnacentral:rRNA from 1 species
CACCUCUAGCAUUACUAGUAUUAGAGGCACUGCCUGCCCAGUGACACACGUUUAACGGCCGCGGUACCCUGACCGUGCAAAGGUAGCAUAAUCACUUGUUCUUUAAAUGGGGACUCGCAUGAAAGGCACCACGAGGGUUUAACUGUCUCUUACUUUUAACCAGUGAAAUUGACCUGCCCGCGAAGAGGCGGGCAUAAAAUAAUAAGACGAGAAGACCCUAUGGAGCUUUAAUCUAUUAAUGCAAUCAAAAACUACACAAACCCACGGACCUUUAAACUACCGACACCUGCAUUAAAAAUUUUGGUUGGGGCGACCUCGGAGCACAACAAAACCUCCGAAUAACACAUGCUAAGACCACACAAGUCAAAGCGAACUAACACUUACAAUUGAUCCAAUAAUUUGAUCAACGGAACAAGUUACCCUAGGGAUAACAGCGCAAUUCUAUUCUAGAGUCCAUAUCGACAAUAGAGCUUACGACCUCGAUGUUGGAUCAGGACAUCCUAAUGGUGCAGCAGCUAUCAAGGGUUCGUUUGUUCAACGAUUAAAGUCCU